rnacentral:rRNA from 1 species
CCCRACUGAGACCGGCUUUGGUGGGAUUUGCUCCGGKUCGCCCCCUUGCUGCGCAUUGWMCCGGCCAUUGUAGGGKGKGUGUAGCCCUGGAUGUAAGGGCCAUGCUGACUUGACGUCAUCCCCSCCUUCCUCCGAGUUAGACCCGGCAGUCUCSCUAGACAUKAUAACUAGCGACGAGGGUUGCGCUCGUUGCGGGACUUAACCCAACACCUCACGGCACGAGCUGACGACAGCCAUGCAGCACCUGUGUACGCUCCCUUGSGGGKMGGUCACCUUUCAGMUUCCUACCACGUACAUGUCAAACCCAGGUA